rnacentral:rRNA from 1 species
GACGAACGCUGGCGGCGUGCUUAACACAUGCAAGUCGAACGGAAAGGCCCUGCUUUUGUGGGGUGCUCGAGUGGCGAACGGGUGAGUAACACGUGAGUAACCUGCCCUUGACUUUAGGAUAACUUCAGGAAACUGGGGCUAAUACCGGAUAGGAGCUCCUGCUGCAUGGUGGGGGUUGGAAAGUUUCGGCGGUUGGGGAUGGACUCGCGGCUUAUCAGCUUGUUGGUGGGGUAGUGGCUUACCAAGGCUUUGACGGGUAGCCGGCCUGAGAGGGUGACCGGCCACAUUGGGACUGAGAUACGGCCCGGACUCCUACGGGAGGCAGCAGUGGGGAAUAUUGCACAAUGGGCGGAAGCCUGAUGCAGCAACGCCGCGUGCGGGAUGACGGCCUUCAGGUUGUAAACCGCUUUCGCCUGUGACGAAGCGUGAGUGACGGUAAUGGGUAAAGAAGCACCGGCUAACUACGUG